rnacentral:lncRNA from 1 species
ACCACACUUAAAUCACACUCAAAAACCUCUCAAACUCAGCUGAGUUUUCAGCUUAUAAAUCAGAAAGUCUCAGCCAUAAAAAGCGAGUUUUAACUCACUUCCACUUUUAUUUUCUUCUUGUUUCUUUUUUUCUUAACACUUGGAUAACCUCUAGGAAGGUUUUCGAAAGUUUGCUUGGGCAAACUAAGGUGAAACCUCACCAUUUUUGAGGUCCAAAGUGCAUAUAAAAUUCUGCUCGUUUUUUUUUAUGAUCAUGUUUUGAUAGAAAACUUAGUGGAAUCUUGUUCCCACCAAGCUCACAACUUAGUCCAUAGUUGUGGGUUUGUGUUUAGGGGAUUUCCAUCAAAGUUUUGGGUUCAAACACCCAUUUAAAUUCUGCUUAUACUUGUUAAAUUAAGCAUGAAUUAAUUAGUUUCAUUUCUUUAUUGUUCAUUCAUGACCAUCCUUGUUGUCCUUGUGACAACUUGUGCAUUGGUGAAUCUAAGAAAGAGGUUUUAAAAGGAAGAUUUAUCCUCCUACCUCUAUGCAUGACUUCUAUGAUAAUACAUGUAAUAUUUGUUGGACUAUAAUCAUACUAUAUACUAUAUAUAACAUAUAUAAAAUAUACUAACCGAACCUUUGAUGGUAAUAAAGUGAUCAUUCAUCAUGGGACUAGGUUAUACCAUCCAAGAACUUAGUUUUCUCGUUACGAUUCUAAUGGGUGUUACGCCCAUGAAAUCAUUCUAAACCCUAUGGGUUUUUAUAGUGUCAAGAACGAGCACUAAGUCUAGAUGAUUACUUUCUUACAUACAUACUUUGUGUAUUUUAAAUUCCGAAUUUCGACUCUAAUCAUACCUUGAACUCUAAUCCGAAUACAUUCCACCUCCUAAUCUCAUACACUCGCCAACAUUUGGAUAAUCGAAAGACUUAGCAAUUUUCUUGCCACAUGGAAUUGUUGAGGAUGAUGAUGCUAUGAAAUGAAGUAGCGUUGAUGCCUAGAUACACAUAUAGACGUUAGGUUUAAUCGUUGUAUCAAUUUUUUAUUAUGUUGUAUUGUAUUUCCCUUGAACUUGAUGUUAAUUGAUUUCUUUGUAAUGUUGACAAAUGAAUUAUGGAAUGAAAUCG